rnacentral:lncRNA from 1 species
GUUCUUCCCUCAUGAAUAGAUCAAUGCUAUUAUCGUGGAAGUGGGCUUGUUAUUGCAGGAGUAUGUUCCUUACAAAAGGAUGAGUUCAGCCCCCUUUUGCCUCUUUCUCUCCCUCAUUCUCUUUUUGCCCUUCUUUCAUGGGAUGAUACAGCAAGAAGGCCCUUGCCAGAUGCCAGUAACUUGAUAUUGAACUUCUCAUCCUCCAGAAUGGUGAUGGCCACAGUGGCAGAACCUAGGAAGCCAAGAAGAAACCAGAGAAUGGAGACACAUGGCAGCAAUGGCAAGUCAUCAGACCCAGGAUUUCCCAAAGAACACUGGUCCAGGAAGAUGCUCUGUGAAAAAGUGUUCCCUGGUCAGAGAAAUUUGUGAAACACUUUGCAUACUUAAAAGAAUGUAUGGCACAUCAAAGGUAAUAUGCAAUAAAAGAAUUCAUUUUUUAAAAACCAA